rnacentral:sRNA from 1 species
CAGGUUCGGGUCGAACGCAGUGAGACAACGGAGCCGUUUACGGCGACGGCCCGUAGGGCGAGCGAAGCGAGUCAUCCUGCACGACCCACCA